UACGGGGGGGCAAGGCGUUGUUCGGAAUUACUGGGCGUAAAGGGCUCGUAGGUGGCCAACUAAGUCAGACGUGAAAGCCCUCGGCUCACCCGGAGGAAGUGCGCCGGAUACUGGCAGACGUUGAGUACCGGAGAGGAGGGUGGAAUUCCUGGUGUAGCGGUAGAAAUGCGUAGAUAUCAGGAGGAACACCGGUGGCGAAGGCGGCCCUCUGGACGAGUACUGACGCUGAGGCGCGAAAGCGUGGGGAUCAAACAGG
rnacentral:rRNA from 1 species